UACGAAGGGUGCAAACGUUGCUCGGAAUUAUUGGGCGUAAAGCGCACGUAGGCGGCAUUGCAAGUCGGAUGUGAAAUCCCUCGGCUUAACCAAGGAAGUGCAUCCGAAACUGCAGUGCUUGAGUACUCAAGAGGAUCGCGGAAUUCCCGGUGUAGAGGUGAAAUUCGUAGAUAUCGGGAGGAACACCAGUGGCGAAGGCGGCGAUCUGGGACGAUACUGACGCUGAGGUGCGAAAGCGUGGGGAGCAAACAGG
rnacentral:rRNA from 1 species